rnacentral:snoRNA from 1 species
UGAUGAACACACUUUUAAAGCCAAACAGUUAUCCCUGUCAUAAGAAUAAUUGAUGAUAAAACAAACUGAC